UAAUACGUAGGGUGCAAGCGUUGUCCGGAAUUAUUGGGCGUAAAGAGCUCGUAGGCGGUUUGUUGCGUCGGCUGUGAAAUCCCGAGGCUCAACCUCGGGUCUGCAGUCGAUACGAGCAAACUAGAGUGUUGCAGGGGAGACUGGAAUUCCUGGUGUAGCGGUGAAAUGCGCAGAUAUCAGGAGGAACACCGGUGGCGAAGGCGGGUCUCUGGGCAACAACUGACGCUGAGGAGCGAAAGCGUGGGGAGCGAACAGGAUUAGAUACCCUGGUAGUCCACGCCGUAAACGGUGGGCGCUAGGUGUGGGGGCCAUUCCACGGUCUCUGUGCCGCAGCUAACGCAUUAAGCGCCCCGCCUGGGGAGUACGGCCGCAAGGCUA
rnacentral:rRNA from 1 species